UACAGAGGUCUCAAGCGUUGUUCGGAUUCAUUGGGCGUAAAGGGUGCGUAGGCGGCGCGGUAAGUCGGGUGUGAAAUCUCGGAGCUUAACUCCGAAACUGCAUUCGAUACUGCCGUGCUUGAGGACUGGAGAGGAGACUGGAAUUUACGGUGUAGCGGUGAAAUGCUUAGAUAUCGUAAGGAAGACCAGUGGCGAAGGCGGGUCUCUGGACAGUUCCUGACGCUGAGGCACGAAGGUCAGGGGAGCAAACGGG
rnacentral:rRNA from 1 species